CCUACGGGCGGCAGCAGUGGGGAAUAUUGCACAAUGGGGGAAACCCUGAUGCAGCGACGCCGCGUGAGUGAAGAAGUAUUUCGGUAUGUAAAGCUCUAUCAGCAGGGAAGAAAAAAGACGGUACCUGACGAAGAAGCCCCGGCUAACUACGUGCCAGCAGCCGCGGUAAUACGUAGGGGGCAAGCGUUAUCCGGAUUUACUGGGUGUAAAGGGAGCGUAGACGGCGCGGCAAGUCUGAAGUGAAAGGCCGGGGCUGAACCCCUGAACUGCUUUGGAAACUGCCAUGCUAGAGUGCUGGAGAGGUAAGUGUAAUUCCUAGUGUAGCGGUGAAAUGCGUAGAUAUUAGGAGGAACACCAGUGGCGAAGGCGGCUUACUGGACAGUAACUGACGUUGCGGCUCGAAAGCGUGGGGAGCAAACAGGAUUAGAUACCCCGGUAGUC
rnacentral:rRNA from 1 species